GUGGAUUUCCCGGGGGAAAGGUGGCGGCAGCCCUGCUCGGCCGGAAAGUUCCUGACUCCAGCGUUUGCUAGCAGCCUCGCCCGGUCUGUCCUUUCCUCGGGUCCAGGAGCUGUGCCCCCGUCUCUUCCGCCCACCCAUCACCUGUAUCUCUGCUCCUAUUCCCGUCGUCCCAGAAAAGGAAAGAGCUGCCAUGUUUCCUGCUUCUGUGAAGAGCUCGCUCUGUCACGCUCGCAAGGUAAAAACAGUGACUCGAUCAGGUCUGACAAUAAGGCAGUCAACAAAUUCAAAGACUCUCAGCUGAUUCUGCAGUUUUAGUUUCCCCAUGUGGCUAAGAAGAUGGCUAAUGCAAGUCCCAAAAUUUCAUCUUCCCAGCUUUGGAACUCCAGCAAGAAAAGGGCAUUUA